rnacentral:lncRNA from 1 species
CUUUUCUCAGUUAGCAUCUACACAAAGUGGAGGGAUGUUGGUUGUCAUCUAGAAGAGUGUAGACAAUCAGUGCUGGAUACAUCUUCAUUGAAGGAAUAGGGAGUGCCCCCUUGUAGGGUCACUGACCCGUGGACUUUGCGUUCUGGGAAGGGGCACCAUCGUAACACGAGUCUCCUGAAGAGGAUAGCACAGCUUGGAGCUCCAGACCUCUAAAGAUUCAAGAACUACAUGGCAGGGUCACUUCAUUUUACAGUAAUACCAUCUGAAGAUGACUUAUCACUUGUGAUAUUAACCUUGAUCACCUGGUGAAGGUGCUGUCUGCCAGGACUGCCCACUUCAAGGUUACCAUCUUUCCCUUUGCCUAGCCCAUUUGGAAGUGAGCCA